rnacentral:rRNA from 1 species
GACGAACGCUGGCGGCGUGCCUAAUACAUGCAAGUCGAGCGAGACUCUUCGGAGUCUAGCGGCGGACGGGUGAGUAACACGUGGGCAACCUGCCUGUAAGACUGGGAUAACACCGGGAAACCGGUGCUAAUACCGGAUAAUCCUUUUCCUCAAAUGAGGAAAAGCUGAAAGUCGGUUUCGGCUGACACUUACGGAUGGGCCCGCGGCGCAUUAGCUAGUUGGUGAGGUAACGGCUCACCAAGGCGACGAUGCGUAGCCGACCUGAGAGGGUGCUCGGCCACACUGGGACUGAGACACGGCCCAGACUCCUACGGGAGGCAGCAGUAGGGAAUCUUCCACAAUGGACGAAAGUCUGAUGGAGCAACGCCGCGUGAGCGAUGAAGGCCUUCGGGUCGUAAAGCUCUGUUGUUAGGGAAGAACAAGUACCGGAGUAACUGCCGGUACCUUGACGGUACCUAACCAGAAAGCCACGGCUAACUACGUGCCAGCCGCCGCAGUAACAC